rnacentral:rRNA from 1 species
AACGUAGGAGACAAACGUUAUCCGGAGUUACUGGGCGUAAAGGGCGUGUAGGUGGUUUCGUAAGUCUGGCGUGAAAUAUCUCGGCUUAACCGAGGCAGGUCGUCGGAUACUGCGGGACUAGAGGACGGUAGAGGCGUGUGGAAUUCCGGGUGUAGUGGUGAAAUGCGUAGAGAUCCGGAGGAACGCCAGUGGCGAAGGCGACACGCUGGGCCGUACCUGACACUGAUGCGCGAAAGCAUGGGGAGCAAACAGG